rnacentral:rRNA from 1 species
GACGAACGCUGGCGGCGUGCUUAACACAUGCAAGUCGAACGGAAAGGCCCUGCUUUUGUGGGGUGCUCGAGUGGCGAACGGGUGAGUAACACGUGAGUAACCUGCCCUUGACUUUGGGAUAACUUCAGGAAACUGGGGCUAAUACCGGAUAGGAGCUCCUGCUGCAUGGUGGGGGUUGGAAAGUUUCGGCGGUUGGGGAUGGACUCGCGGCUUAUCAGCUUGUUGGUGGGGUAGUGGCUUACCAAGGCUUUGACGGGUAGCCGGCCUGAGAGGGUGACCGGCGACAUUGGGACUGAGAGACGGCCCAGAGUCCUACGGGAGGCAGCAGUGGGGAAUAUUGCACAAUGGGCGGAAGCCUGAUGCAGCAACGCCGCGUGCGGGAUGACGGCCUUCGGGUUGUAAACCGCUUUCGCCUGUGACGAAGCGUGAGUGACGGUAAUGGGUAAAGAAGCACCGGCUAACUACGUG